CAGCAGCACACCGGACACGCACGUGCGGCUGCUGUCAGACAUGCUUAAGGCCGCGCUCCGCAAACUCCGGAAGAGCUCGGGACCCGGAGGGGAAAAGGCAGGCCGGGGCUCUGUGGACAGAGCGGACAGCCGGGGCUCUGUGGACACAGCGGACAGCCGGGCCUCUGUGGACACAGCGGACAGCCGGGCCUCUGUGGACAGAGCGGAC